GUAGUUGACUCCGUGGCUCAGACUACGCUGGCGGCGUGCUUAACACAUGCAAGUCGAACGCUGAAGCACCAGCUUGCUGGUGUGGAUGAGUGGCGAACGGGUGAGUAACACGUGAGUAACCUGCCCCUGACUUCGGGAUAAGCCCGGGAAACUGGGUCUAAUACCGGAUACGACCUCUGACCGCAUGGUCGGGGGUGGAAAGGUUUUUCGGUUGGGGAUGGGCUCGCGGCCUAUCAGCUUGUUGGUGGGGUGAUGGCCUACCAAGGCGACGACGGGUAGCCGGCCUGAGAGGGCGACCGGCCACACUGGGACUGAGACACGGCCCAGACUCCUACGGGAGGCAGCAGUGGGGAAUAUUGCACAAUGGGGGAAACCCUGAUGCAGCGACGCCGCGUGGGGGAUGACGGCCUUCGGGUUGUAAACCUCUUUCAGUAGGGAAGAAGCCUCGGGUGACGGUACCUGCAGAAGAAGUACCGGCUAACUACGUG
rnacentral:rRNA from 1 species